CCUACGGGUGGCAGCAGUGGGGAAUAUUGGGCAAUGGGCGCAAGCCUGACCCAGCAACGCCGCGUGAAGGAAGAAGGCUUUCGGGUUGUAAACUUCUUUUGACAGGGAAGAGCAGAAGACGGUACCUGUCGAAUAAGCCACGGCGGGGUGGGUGCCAGCAGCCGGGGUGAUACGUAGGUGGCAAGCGGUGGGGGGAUGUACUGGGGGUGAAGGGCGUGUAGCCGGGCUGACAAGUCAGAUGUGAAAUCCGGGGGCUCAACCCCCGAACUGCAUUUGAAACUGUUGGUCUUGAGUAUCGGAGAGGCAGGCGGAAUUCCUAGUGUAGCGGUGAAAUGCGUAGAUAUUAGGAGGAACACCAGUGGCGAAGGCGGCCUGCUGGACGACAACUGACGGUGAGGCGCGAAAGCGUGGGGAGCAAACAGGAUUAGAUACCCGAGUAGUC
rnacentral:rRNA from 1 species